UACGGGGGGGGCAAGCGUUGUUCGGAAUUACUGGGCGUAAAGGGCUCGUAGGCGGCCAACUAAGUCAGACGUGAAAUCCCUCGGCUUAACCGGGGAACUGCGUCUGAUACUGGAUGGCUUGAGAUUGGGAGAGGGAUGCGGAAUUCCAGGUGUAGCGGUGAAAUGCGUAGAUAUCAGGAGGAACACCUGUGGCGAAAGCGGCGCACUGGACCACAACUGACGCUGAGGCGCGAAAGCUAGGGGAGCAAACAGG
rnacentral:rRNA from 1 species